AUUUUGUGCUCAUUUAUCAAAAAAAAUAAAAAUUCUCAAUUCCCUUAUCUCAUUAUACCAUAUAUUUAUAAUUCUAUCCCAAUGGGUGCAUCUUGAUUAACCCGAAACUUUUAAAAUUUAACUUCACCAUUUUAAAAUUUACAUUACUUGUUUUAAGUCUUGAUGAAGAGGAGGUUUUUAUCAGUUCUUAGAUGUUUAAAUUGAAUUUAUAGAUAUAACUUGUGUACAUGUCCUUUUUUGACUUUAAAAAUUAAUUCUAAAUGUUAAGAAAGUCUGAAUCAAGGGCAUUCCUUGAAGUAUCAAGGAAUCACAACCCUUGAAUAAGGGCCAUUGACUUACAUUUUUUUUUUCAUAGGCAAAAUUAAUUAAAAAUAAAGAAUUUGGCGUUGGCCUGACUCGAACCAGAGACCUUCAAUGUGUUAGACUGACGUGAUAACCAACUACACCACGACACCAUGUUAAAGGAAUAUUGAAUUACAUCUCAACAACAUAAACCUAUUGUUGGUGUUUUUGUUACCAAAGAGGAUGAAAUGUUCUAGGAUUAGAAGUGCCCAAUGUGCUGAAAGUAUUGUUAUUGCUUACAUAGAAAACAUUUUUUUUAAAAAACUUAUUAUAUAUUGUUGAUUUUUUGGAUUUCUUUUCUUUAUUUGCAAUGUAUAUCAAUCACUUAGCACUGGAAAUGAUAGUGAACUAGGGCAUGUUUAAUAUUUUGGACUGCAGUUCAGCUCAGUUACAUUAAGGAAUCUGAAGAGAUGUGUCGUGCUAUGGAACCUUUGGAAUUGAUAAAAAGAGUGAGGGAAAUUACUCAAGAAGCUUAUGUGGAAGCAGAGAUAGUCCAACUGAAAGAUACAAAGCAGACAGCUGCAGAAGAUCUAUCCAAAAGGUUAAAGGACUCAUGCUCCUUUAGUGAUGCUGCUGGCCAAAAAGGUAACUAACUUGGUUUUGCCUAGAAAUCCAUUGCUCUCUCUCUUUCACAUACACACACAUAUGCACAAGGUGAUGGAUAAUGGUAAUUUACUAUAAAGAACUACACCUAAUUAACGAGCAAAGUCUGCUAUGGUGCUGCUUGAUAUAGAAAUUCUUCAUGAUUUUGUUAAACUGAAACUAAUUUUACUGAAGUAAACACAUUGGCUUUUAA